rnacentral:sRNA from 2 species
UCAGGCAACUCUUCCGUCGCUAUCGUCGUGUCCAGCGAGUGUCUAAAGAAUACGAUUAUGGCGAGAGCGGGUGAAAGUUUGGCAUACGUGGGGUGGAGGAGGCCCUGAGCGAUACGAAUGGCUUCCUUGGGUGGACGGAGACCUGCAAUUUCUCUGUCCCAAUACAGUUGGAAAGCUUGGCGAUUUUCGGGCCACAUGGAUAGCGGGACUUGAAGGGCCGUGGGAAAGAUGGAGAAUUGUUGGUAGACUUGAUCGCGCUCUGCUUCGGAGAAAGGGCGGACGAUAGCCUCGUACUUAUCCAUCAUGGUUACGUAGGUAACCGCAGCAAUCCAGAGCUGUAGCCGCGGGUCCAUGGCGUCAUAGCUCUUCUUGGUUUUAUUGUCGUUAACGUGUUUAUGUGCGGUUGUGACGAAGUUACGGAAAGCAAUCUUCUCUGCCUCAGUGCCGAAUGCAAUAACGUUGAUAUAUAUGGCUGUGUUAAGUGUCCGCUCGGCGUGGCGACUGCUGAACGUGCUGUGUCUUCCAGCCCCUUUUCCAACCCCUGGCUGAGCGAGUUGGAGCAAAACAGCUUGUCUAGCUUGCGUUUCACGACCCCUUCGAGGGUUGCCUCUGCGGAUAAUGAACCAGGUUGUUUCAUGCUGGAUAAGGGGGUUCCUCCGCGACGAGUCCUGGCUAUCAUGUAGGCAGCUUGGGCAAGACCAGCUAAAGUGAUAUGUCAGACAAACUGUAGCAUUUUUGAUGGGACAUUACGAACCUGCAACGAAUGGUGAGAGGAAGAGAAUCCCGAUGUAUCCUAUGACUGUAGAAAUCCCGGUUGUGAGGAGAAGUUUGAGCACAUGGUGGGAGUUCCCCCGAAUGAUUUCGGUAAGCAUGCUGUAUCGAUGUGUGCACUGGAUGCUAAAAGAGGUCUUCUACUAAGCAAGAAAAAAAAGCACAGACAGCAGCUUUUCGGCUAGUUAUACUCUGCUGAGGCCUAGGAUACGAAUGGGCUGAUAGCUCAACCUAACGGGAAAUGACGGUGUAACGCGUGCAGCCAUGGCUAAGCUGGUCGGAAGCAGUGGGCACCUGUGACACCGCGAUGUCGUCUUUUCAAACCCAACGAAUGGAUAUGUGCUUCAUUGUCACCAUCGGGGGCGGAACGGAUGGGCUGUGGAUGAGGAUGACGAAACGCUAGGCAGCUGAGCCAUAUCCGGCUGCGAAUAUCAAAACGGUGUUGGAAUGCGAUAUGAAUGCACUGAGAUAGCAGGUUGAGGAAGUAGAGGAGGAAGGAAAAAACUUGAUAUGGUAG